rnacentral:rRNA from 1 species
AGAGACAGCAGCAGCCACGGUAAUACAGAGGGUGCGAGCGUUAAUCGGAUUUACUGGGCGUAAAGCGUGCGUAGGCGGCUUUUUAAGUCGGAUGUGAAAUCCCUGAGCUUAACUUAGGAAUUGCAUUCGAUACUGGGAAGCUAGAGUAUGGGAGAGGAUGGUAGAAUUCCAGGUGUAGCGGUGAAAUGCGUAGAGAUCUGGAGGAAUACCGAUGGCGAAGGCAGCCAUCUGGCCUAAUACUGACGCUGAGGUACGAAAGCAUGGGGAGCAAACAGGAUUAGAUACCCCAGUAGUCCCUGUCUCUUAUAC